rnacentral:rRNA from 1 species
AUUGAACGCUGGCGGCAGGCCUAACACAUGCAAGUCGAACGAGUGGCGGACGGGUGAGUAAUGUCUGGGAAACUGCCCGAUGGAGGGGGAUAACUACUGGAAACGGUAGCUAAUACCGCAUACCCUCGGAUGUGCCCAGAUGGGAUUAGCUCGUAGGUGGGGUAACGGGUCACCUAGGCCACGAUCCCUAGCUGGUCUGAGAGGAUGACCAGCCACACUGGAACUGGGACGCGUGCCAGACUCCGACGGGAGUCAGCAGGGGGGAAUAUGGGACAAUGGGCGCAAGCCGGAUGCAGCAAUGCCGCGUGUAUGAAGAAGGCCUUCGGGUUGUAAAGUACUGUCAGCGAGGAGGCGUUACUCGCAGAAGAAGCACCGGCUAACUCCGUGCCAGCAGCCGCGGUAAUAC